UGACUCCUGGUGGGACAGAACAGCAGGGACCCCUGGCAAUGCUAGGCGGCCAAGGAGAAAGAGGAGCCAGCAGCACUGAAGGAGGGGGGGGGGAGAGGCCUUGGGGAGGGGGAGAUCCCUGUCAGGCCUUACUCCUCUCAGGAAGUGGCCUCAGGGCUCUUGGAGGGCUUUGCUUGUGGAAAAAGGGGAGGGAGGCCCUUAUUUGCACAUGGGGUUAGAGGCCAUGGGGCCAGGGAUUUGGUGCAGUGGCCAAUCUAGAACCAGGCCCAGCUGCUCUUCCUCCCACCUGGAGCCAGUACUGGCUUUGCACCCCAAACCACUCGCCCUCCUCAGCCUAGAUGUGGACUUUGGGGGUGUCAGUUUCUGUGGGGCUACUUAAUGCUCUGCAGCUGGAGAAUCAGAAAAGCUCCCCGCCCCUCCCCCUGGCCGGCUCCUGGUGGGCUGGAGGCCGUGGGACUGGCCCUGUGAAAGAUCCCUAUGCAGAGGCAAACAAGGUGAAGGGAUUUAGGCAGGACUGAACAGUGGUUGAAAGGGGUUUUGAAGGAUGUCAGCAGCCACAACUGGGACCCGUCAUUAAGUGAAGCUGUGGCUAAUUGAAACCAUGACACUCCCUUGUUGACCUUAUUUCAACCUUCCUGUUUUGUAGACCUGCAGAGGUCAUAAAUGCGAGAACUGCUUGCAAAGUCAUUUUUUGAUUGCCAUUGUAAGCGAACAAUCCCUAAUUAGACGAGGCAGUCACUAAAUAAGCACUUCCUGUAGGAGUUGGAUGUCCUGGUGCAGUUUUCCUCUGUGAUCUGCAGAAGCCUGCAGUUCUAAGGCGGAAGAGGCUUGUUCUCCAUUGCCUCCAAAGGCAGGACCUGAACCCAGAGCUUGGAAAUGAGGAAAGUGGAUUCAGGUUAGAUGGACAUCAGGAUAUUCCAAAGAAGAAGAUGGUCCUGCACAGAGCAGGAGGCUGGCUUAGAGGCCUCCCGAGCUUCCCUUCAAGUCCAACUGUUUGUAGCUUUAAAAUCAGAGACGGCGAUUGUGCUGCUAGGUUACAAAUUAAAAGCUGUUUUUAAAAGUA